rnacentral:rRNA from 1 species
AUUGAACGCUGGCGGCAGGCUUAACACAUGCAAGUCGAGCGAGCGGCGGACGGGUGAGUAAUGUCUGGGAAACUGCCUGAUGGAGGGGGAUACAUACUGGAAACGGUAGCUAAUACCGCAUACAAUCAGAAGUGCCAAGAUGGGAUUAGCUCUUAGGUGGGGUAAUGGCUCACCUGGGCGACGAGCCCUAGCUGGUCUGAGAGGAUGACCAGCCACACGGGAACUGGUACACGGUCCAGACUCCUACGGGAGGCAGCAGUGGGGAAUAUUGCACAAUGGGCGCAAGCCUGAUGCAGCCAUGCCGCGUGUGUGAAGAAGGCCUUCGGGUUGUAAAGCACUUUCAGCGAGGAGGCGUUACUCGCAGAAGAAGCACCGGCUAACUCCGUGCCAGCAGCCGCGGUAAUAC